rnacentral:rRNA from 1 species
CAGUCGCCGCGGUAAUACGAAGGGUGCAAGCGUUAAUCGGAAUUACUGGGCGUAAAGCGUGCGUAGGCGGUUUGUUAAGUCUGUUGUGAAAUCCCCGGGCUCAACCUGGGAAUGGCAGUGGAUACUGGCUCGCUAGAGUGUGUCAGAGGAUGGUGGAAUUCCCGGUGUAGCGGUGAAAUGCGUAGAGAUCGGGAGGAACAUCAGUGGCGAAGGCGGCCAUCUGGGACAACACUGACGCUGAGGCACGAAAGCGUGGGGAGCAAACAGGAUUAGAUACCCGCGUAGUCCCUGUCUCUUAUAC